CUGACGCUGAGGCUCGAAAGCGUGGGGAGCAAACAGGAUUAGAUACCUGGUAGUCCACGCCGUAAACGAUGAGUGCUAAGUGUUAGGGGGUUUCCCCCCUUAGUGCUGCAGCUAACGCAUUAAGCACUCCGCCUGGGGAGUACGACCGCAAGGUUGAAACUCAAAGGAAUUGACGGGGGCCCGCACAAGCGGUGGAGCAUGUGGUUUAAUUCGAAGCAACGCGAAGAACCUUACCAGGUCUUGACAUCCUUUGACCACUUUAGAGAUAAAGCUUUCCCUUCGGGGACAAAGUGACAGGUGGUGCAUGGUUGUCGUCAGCUCGUGUCGUGAGAUGUUGGGUUAAGUCCCGCAACGAGCGCAACCCUUAUUGUUAGUUGCCAUCAUUCAGUUGGGCACUCUAGCGAAACUGCCGGUGACAAACCGGAGGAAGGUGGGGAUGACGUCAAAUCAUCAUGCCCCUUAUGACCUGGGCUACACACGUGCUACAAUGGACAGUACAAUGAGCAGCGACACGGCGACGUGAAGCGAAUCUCAUAAAGCUGUUCUCAGUUCGGAUUGUAGGCUGCAACUCGCCUACAUGAAGCCGGAAUCGCUAGUAAUCGCGGAUCAGCACGCCGCGGUGAAUACGUUCCCGGGCCUUGUACACACCGCCCGUCACACCACGAAAGUUUGUAACACCCAAAGUCGGUGAGGUAACCUUCGGGAGCCAGCCGCCUAAGGUGGGAUAGAUGAUUGGGGUGAAGUCGUAACAAGGUAACCA
rnacentral:rRNA from 1 species